rnacentral:snoRNA from 1 species
GGAUCGAAGGAUGACUUCCAUGUACAUUCCUUGAAAGCUGGAACAAAAUGAGGAAAACUCUAUAACGGCCAUCCUCACGAACUGAGGUCC